rnacentral:rRNA from 1 species
UGGGGAAUAUUGGACAAUGGGCGAAAGCCUGAUCCAGCCAUGCCGCGUGUGUGAAGAAGGCCUUAUGGUUGUAAAGCACUUUAAGCGAGGAGGAGGGUACUGGUAUUAAUACUACCAGGUACUGGACGUUACUCGCAGAAUAAGCACCGGCUAACUCUGUGCCAGCAGCCGCGGUAAUACAGAGGGUGCGAGCGUUAAUCGGAUUUACUGGGCGUAAGCCGUGCGUAGGCGGCUAAUUGAGUCGGAUGUGAACUCCCCGAGCUUAACUUGGGAAUUGCAUUCGAUACUGGUUAGCUAGAGUGUGGGAGAGGAUGGUAGAAUUCCAGGUGUAGCGGAGAAAUGCGUAGAGAUCUGGAGGAAUACCGAUGGCGAAGGCAGCCAUCUGGCCUAACACUGACGCUGAGGUGCGAAAGCAUGGGGAGCAAACAGG